AAUCAACGCUGGCGGCGUGCCUCAGACAUGCAAGUCGAACGAUUAAAGCUCCCUUCGGGGAGUGCAUAGAGUGGCGCACGGGUGAGUAACACGUAAGUAAUCUACCUUCGAGUGGGGAAUAACAUCGGGAAACCGAUGCUAAUACCGCAUAAUGCAGCGGCAUCGCAAGAUGACAGUUGUUAAAGGAGCAAUUCGCUUGAAGAGGAGCUUGCGGCAGAUUAGCUAGUUGGUAAGGUAAUGGCUUACCAAGGCUACGAUCUGUAACCGGUCUAAGAGGACGGUCGGUCACACUGACACUGAAUAACGGGUCAGACUCCUACGGGAGGCAGCAGUCGGGAAUUUUGGGCAAUGGGCGAAAGCCUGACCCAGCAACGCCGCGUGAAGGAUGAAGUAUUUCGGUAUGUAAACUUCGAAAGAAUGGGAAGAAAACAAUGACGGUACCAUUUAUAAGGUCCGGCUAACUACGUGCCAGCAGCCGCGGUAAUACGUAGCGACCAAGCGUUUC
rnacentral:rRNA from 1 species